AUUCAGCCGACGAGUCCCAAACAGGACGAAGUGCACGUUAUCCUGGAU
rfam:Trichobilharzia regenti genome assembly, scaffold: TRE_scaffold0020904